AGACGGAGAACGUCAGGAACAAACGGAGCUAGUUAAGCUACAGCGGAGCCAAGCUACAGUUCCCCCCGGCACAGAGCUCCGAGAGACAGGCUGAGUGUUUCUGUCGUAAACGGAUUCCAGCAGCAGCAGUUUCUCCAGGCAGACGUUCUGCUCCAGAACUUCUCCACACUUUUCAGACGUUUCAGCUGCAAACCUCAGGAACCUCAACAUGUUUUGAAACCCAACUGAAGACAGUCCAGAGGAGCAGAGCUCAGGUGGAGGAAGAGGAAACCGUUCGUCUUCAGCACAGAAGUGCCCAGAUUUGAGCGACAUGUCGGAUUAAUCCUCAGCUCGUCUGAUCCGGGCCUCAGAUGCGGGUUCUCCCCCUCCAGAGCCACCGUCUGAAAAGGCCAGCAGUUAUUUCCAUAUUUAUUGUGCCGCCUGGUUCCUCCGAUGAAUAAAUCAAAGCUGCAGCUAAUAGCCUUCUGCAGAGCGCUCAGUCAUAAAUCUCUGCUUUAACGCACAUCAUUAGCUCGUCUCUCAAAAUGCCACAAGUACUUUGUUUUAAUUUACUAAAAGUCAUUUCUAACCUUGA